rnacentral:rRNA from 1 species
AACGAACGCUGGCGGCAUGCCUAACACAUGCAAGUCGAACGAGACCUUCGGGUCUAGUGGCGCACGGGUGCGUAACGCGUGGGAAUCUACCCUUGGGUUCGGAAUAACAGUUAGAAAUGACUGCUAAUACCGGAUGAUGACGUAAGUCCAAAGAUUUAUCGCCCAAGGAUGAGCCCGCGUAAGAUUAGCUUGUUGGUGGGGUAAUGGCCUACCAAGGCGACGAUCUUUAGCUGGUCCGAGAGGAUGAUCAGCCACACUGGGACUGGGACCAGGGCCAGACUCGCAAGGGUGGCAGCAGGGGGGAAUAUUGGACCAUGGGCGAAAGCUUGAUCCAGCAAUGCCGCGUGGGUGAUUAAGGCCUUAGGGUUGUAAAGCUCUUUUACCAGGGAUGAUAAUGACAGUACCUGGAGAAUAAGCUCCGGCUAACUCCGUGCCAGCCGCCGCGGUAA